GCUGGUAACAAACACGAGUAAAAUACGCGGAUAUACUCGUGCCUUUAACCAAUUCGGUCCAUCACAGAAAGAAAGAGGAUGUUUUCGUAGUUUUUAAUGAGCAAAUUAUACUCCUCGCGUAUCUACAAGAAAUGCCAGGUUCUUCUGUUCCCUCUUCACUCAGGGCAGUGGCAAAGGGAACGCACUAGGAGAGGUAGCGUAGAGAAGACUCAGGAAUACGCAAGCUUGUCUGCGCUCUCUCGAAUUAAGGCCACUGGAUACUGCGGUAAUGAUGGACCAACAAUUAGGAGCGACCGGGCACCGAAAAAGACAUCAAAAUCGUCCAAUUAGGGGCUGAAAGUAAUUUGAUUGGAAUCCAUUCGAAACACAAAAAAGUUAAAUAAACUUGGAUCAAAUUGAAAGGCAAACCUUUAAUUGAGUCUUUUGUGAAGACACUUGUUGAAAUGCCAAGCGUAUUCUGUUGCUCUGUUCACACACUGAUAAUUUAAAUGUGUUCUUUAAAAGCUAGCCGUUUGGCCUUACAUUUGUGAAACAUUUUGGUUCGAAUGAAUUUUUGCGUUGAGUACAGGUUGAGAACGGACCUGUCCGAUCUGCCUAUUAAGUCAAUUAAACGGACAAAUAGCCUUUACUGCUGCCUAGAAACAGGUUGAUUGACA